AUGGCACGUGACUCGUCCUCCUCCCGCCUCCGCGUCGUCGACACCGCCGUCGUCACACCGUCCGGCCCGCCGCUGCCGCCGUCCUCCCUCCCGCUCACCUUCCUGGACCUGCAGUGGAUCCAUUCCCCGCCCGUCGAGCGCAUCUUCUUCUACCACAUCGGCGCCGCCCAUGCCGACCUCGUCGUCUCCAGCCUCAAGGCCUCGCUCUCCACGGCCCUCCGCGCCUUCUUCCCGCUUGCCGGCCGCCUCCGCGCCACCACCGCCAACGGCCGCCCCGACAUCUUCUACGAGCCCGGGGACGGCGUCACCUUCACAGUCGCCGAGUACGACGCCGACCUCAGCGACCUCGCAUCCGACCAUCACCCCAGGCAGGUCGCUGAGCUCGUCCAGCUCGUUCCGCGCCUACGGCACGCCGACGCCGACGGAGGCGCUGCGCUUCUCUCCGUGCAGGCCACCGUGCUGCUGCCGCGGGGUGACCUCGCGCUCGGCGUGACCGUGCACCACGCCGCCUGCGACGGCGCGGGCUCCACCAGCUUCCUCCACACCUGGGCGGCCGCCUGCGCCGGACCGGACAGGCCGCUCCCGCUGGCUCCUGUCAUCGACCGGACGCUCAUCACUGAACCGGCAGGCCUCUACGAACACUACACGAACAACCUGAUGAGCGCCGACGAGAUCGAGUUCGUCAAGAUGUCGCCGGACCAGCUCCUCGCCACGUUCACUCUGUCCAGGGAGCACCUGCAGGGCGUCAAGGACGCCGUGGCCAGCGAGGCCGCGCGGCGUGGCCAGACGCCGCCAAGGUGCUCGACGCUCGUCGCCGCCUUAGGCUUCGUCUGGUCGUGCUACCGCCGAGCCAAAGCAGAGACCGGUGACGGCGCUGCGGAUCCCGAAUCACCAACAUACUUCAUCGUCCCCGUGGACUACCGGCAGUUGAUGAAGCCGCCUGUGCCGGCGACGUACCUGGGCAACUGCAUCGGCCCGGCCAUCGGCGCAGCGGCCAAGGGGGAGCUCGCCUCGGCCGGCGCCGAUGGGCUCUUCACGGCGUGA
rnacentral:rRNA from 1 species